rnacentral:rRNA from 1 species
CAGUAGCCGCGGUAAUACGUAGGGUCCGAGCGUUGUCCGGAAUUACUGGGCGUAAAGAGCUCGUAGGUGGUUUGUCGCGUUGUUCGUGAAAACUCACAGCUCAACUGUGGGCGUGCGGGCGAUACGGGCAGACUAGAGUACUGCAGGGGAGACUGGAAUUCCUGGUGUAGCGGUGGAAUGCGCAGGUAUCAGGAGGAACACCGGUGGCGAAGGCGGGUCUCUGGGCAGUAACUGACGCUGAGGAGCGAAAGCGUGGGGAGCGAACAGGAUUAGAUACCCCUGUAGUCCCUGUCUCUUAUAC